rnacentral:misc_RNA from 1 species
GGAGUGCACAGCAGCAGGAAUUUUUCGCUUCAUUAUAUUCAAGAAUCGGAGUGCUUUUUCCCAUGCAGGAGCAUCCACGCUGCGUUCGGCAGGAGGAGAUCCUAAUUUCUUCUGACUCAAUAUUAACUAUGUUUCCUGAAAUAAGUUCGUACUUGUAACGGCACUUUGCACAGGAUACAAUCUGAAUACCGUGCUGGGGUUGUGCAACUGC